ACACAAGGGAAACCUUUUACCUCCGCAGCCAGAGUCUGGGGGGAAAGGCAGGCGUGGGAAGCACUAACUCCCUCUCUGGAUAUCUGGAACAAGGAGGACCUUAAACUUAACAAUAAAGCCAAUGAUGGUUCUACCAGUCUCCCCAAAGCCUCAAGUUUAAAAGCCAUAUGAACUGGCUGAUAGUGGAAAAUGGAAGCCAUGAGGAAAUCAGAUUAGAGUACUACCUGGUGAAGCCUGGAGGACCUACCAAGAAAAGCAAACUUGGAUCUUUGCAAGGUUAGAAGAACGAAUGGGAUCCAAGAAAAAGACUGGUCAUAUUCAACGGCUAAGAGCGUUGGAGAAGGCCUGUGGAGUCUCAGCAGGUCAGGUCCAUGACUCAUGAGUAGACACCUGUGUUUCUACUGCCUGGUGCCAUAAUCAUAAACAAGGAAGAAACUGAGGACAGGAGGGGCCAAACAAGUUACAGUUUCAUCCCUCCAGAGAGCCAACAGAGUAUUUUGCACGAAGUUGAAGCUAAACAGAGUAAUCAGCAAAUGCCUUUCCUUUCUCCUGCUGAUGUUUUGCCCGUACUCAGACCCCUUGACUUCUUAGCUUCUACCCAAAGUGAGCUUGUCAUCAAAGUUCUCCAAAAAUCUGCAGUGUUCUCUUGAGCAAAUCUGGCAACCUAUUCAGCUCCAAUAAAAGAGUGUUUGACACCUGACUGUGCAUUGUUUAUUACUCCCUGUUAAGUAUAGUCAAAAUAAUUUAAAGAAAAAAAUCACAUACUUUACUUCCAAUUAUUUAUCCAACAUCCAACUGAAUGUUGACUUUGGGACAGACACUGGCUGGGUGCUGGAAAUAGAGUGGAGAAUAAGACAGGUAUGGUUUCUGCCAUUACUAUACUCAUAAUCAAAUAGCAAUAAUGAUAAGACUACAGAAAGUGUUUAGCAGCAAACUGCAUCUUAGAGGUGAUGGGAGGGAAGUGUUGGAGAAACCCACUGGAGGCUUCCAUCUGACACCUGAAGGAUGAGUGGACACUAACACAAAGAGAAGGAGGCUGGCAGAAUCCAGAACAUGAUGAGACCUAGGCCAGGCACCUCCUACUAGGACCUUGAUUACAGCUUUAUGGAACCAAUGGAACCUGGAGGAAAAGAAGCAGGUAAAGAUGAGAAAACUGAUCACCCUGCAAGGACUAUCCUGAGCAGAAAAGGGGAGCUCCUACUUCAUGCCAGACAUCAUGCCAACACUUGCAUAUAACUCUCAGUUCAUCCUCAGAAUCCUCCUUGGGGUUACUUUAUUUAUUCCACUGUACUAUCACUGGGAGACUAAGGCCAGAGUGUUUACAUUCCCCACUUGCUGGGGUCCCAGAUCAUAAUGUGGGCAGGAUGAAGCCCUGAAGCAUGAACGCAUCCACCUUGUUCUGUUCCUUUCCUCCCUCCUCGGGGGAAGUUUGCUAUCCCUGAACCUUUGUGCUUCUUGAUCUCAUGUCAUACAAUCUUAGACAUAAGUCUAAAAGACGUUGACUCACCAGAGUCCUUGGACUGGCAGGGGCCUAGGUCAGACUGUGGAAUCUCCAGAGCCAAAUUUGUCUUUUCAAAUUCUAAGUUCUCGGCACUUGGUUUCUCAUGUCACCCACUUGGCCCUCUUCCAAGUGUACUUUCCUUCUUUUCUUUCCUUACU
ensembl:lncRNA novel transcript, antisense to PRKCDBP